AUUGAACGCUGGCGGCAGGCCUAACACAUGCAAGUCGAGCGGAUGACGGGAGCUUGCUCCCUGAUUCAGCGGCGGACGGGUGAGUAAUACCUAGGAAUCUGCCUGAUAGUGGGGGACAACGUUUCGAAAGGAACGCUAAUACCGCAUACGUCCUACGGGAGAAAGCAGGGGACCUUCGGGCCUUGCGCUAUCAGAUGAGCCUAGGUCGGAUUAGCUAGUUGGUGAGGUAAUGGCUCACUAAGGCGACGAUCCGUAACUGGGCUGAUAGGCUGAGCAGUCUCACCGGAACUGAGACACGGUCCAGACUCCUACGUGAGGCAGCAGUGGGGAAUAUUGGACAAUGGGCGAAAGCCUGAUCCAGCCAUGCCGCGUGUGUGAAGAAGGUCUUCGGAUUGUAAAGCACUUUAAGUUGGGAGGAAGGGCAGUAAGCUAAUACCUUGCUGUUUUGACGUUACCGACAGAAUAAGCACCGGCUAACUCUGUGCCAGCAGCCGCCGUAAUAC
rnacentral:rRNA from 1 species